UACGUAGGAGGCGAGCGUUAUCCGGAUUUACUGGGCGUAAAGAGGGUGUAGGCGGUCUGUCAAGUCGGAUGUGAAAUCUCCCGGCUAAACUGGGAGGGUGCGUUCGAAACUGAUGGACUGGAGUGCAGCAGAGGAAAGCGGAAUUCCCGGUGUAGUGGCGAAAUGCGUAGAUAUCGGGAAGAACACCAGUGGCGAAGGCGGCUUUCCAGGCUGUUACUGACGCUGAGGCCCGAAGGCGUGGGGAG
rnacentral:rRNA from 1 species